rnacentral:lncRNA from 1 species
CUUGACUAACAUGGCUCCGUUCUCUAAAAGAAGUUAUCCUGUAAUCUCUAAAAAUAAAAACAAAUAGAUUCAUGGGUUAGGAUAUUCAUCUAUCUUUUCGUAUCCCAUGUCUAAUCCUUUCAUUAUUUUUUUUGAAGCAUAGAAGCUCUCAACAAGCUUUUCAUCUUUCGAUAGUAUUUUCUUUGUGAUUGCUACCAUUCUAUCAUAAUAAUUGAUCAUCAUAUUAAACUCAGUCUUUAAGUUCAAUAACUCUGAUACAGUUGAUAAUACAAUGUAUAUUUCAUAUUCCGAUCAUAGUGGUUCAUCAGUAUCUCUCAACAUACAAUAGAAAUAAUCGCUGUCAGCUUUUGGAUCGUCCUCCACAUCCUAAUUAAAUUUAGGACUAGCAGCAUCUAUAACCAUGUCUACCAUUCUAUUUAUGUCUCUGUCCUGCUCAUUUCUAACCCUUGCAACUGUCUCCUACGUCUCCCCAUGCAGGUAUCAAUGCUUGUAAUUGGACAUAAAUCCACUUCUAUAUAAAUGGAUAGUCAUUGUAUCCCUAUCAAGUAUUUUUCUGUUGCCACAUAUCUUAUAAGGGCAAUGAGUCCAUUCUUGAUGUAAG